AUGCAGUUUUUGCUGGAUGAGCACUUGUUGUUUUUCUUAUCGGCAGAUUUAUUAAGAGGUAAUUUAUUAAGAGGCACUCUGCACCCUGAGCCCUGCAUGCAUCCAGAGGAAAGCAGUGAUGACCACAGAGCUCAGAAACCUCAGAGCAGGGUCUGGGCUUCAUUACUCUGGAUUCCUGAGAGUGAGCUCAGGCAAGAAGGAUGGUCUCCAAGGAGCUGCCGUCUCAGGCUGCAGAGAGCAAUUAACAUCUGGCCAAAAUCAAGGGGUGGGGAGAAAAACAGUGGAUUCAACUUAAAUGCAGGUGCCAGUUUGAACAAAAAUCAGCGUCUGACCCAAACAGAUGGUACAGAAAAAGGCCUUUCCUCAGAGCCUGGCUGCAAAAAUUCUCCUAAGCCUUGGGACAUGGAUUGGAGCUGUAUCCACCAUGGGGCUCACAGCAGUGGGCCAAGAGGAAACAUUUUUUCUAACUUGUGA
rnacentral:lncRNA from 1 species